UACAGAGGUGGCAAGCGUUGUUCGGAAUUACUGGGCGUAAAGGGCGCGUAGGCGGCCAUCUAAGUCAGACGUGAAAUCCCCCGGCUUAACCUGGGAACUGCGUCUGAUACUGGAAGGCUUGAGUAUGGGAGAGGGAUGUAGAAUUCCAGGUGUAGCGGUGAAAUGCGUAGAUAUCUGGAGGAAUACCGGUGGCGAAGGCGGCAUCCUGGACCAUUACUGACGCUGAGGCGCGAAGGCUAGGGGAGCAAACGGG
rnacentral:rRNA from 1 species